rnacentral:rRNA from 1 species
GAUGAACGCUGGCGGCGUGCUUAAUACAUGCAAGUCGAACGAAGCACUUCUCCCGUUGAUUGAAUUAGCUUGCUAAUGAUUGAAACAAUUGAAGUGACUGAGUGGCGGACGGGUGAGUAACGCGUGGGUAACCUGCCUUGUACAGGGGGAUAACAGUUGGAAACGACUGCUAAUACCGCAUAAGCACACAGUACCGCAUGGUACGGUGUGAAAAACUCCGGUGGUACAAGAUGGACCCGCGUCUGAUUAGCUAGUUGGUGAGGUAACGGCCCACCAAGGCAACGAUCAGUAGCCGACUUGAGAGAGUGAUCGGCCACAUUGGGACUGAGACACGGCCCAAACUCCUACGGGAGGCAGCAGUAGGGAAUAUUGCACAAUGGGGGAAACCCUGAUGCAGCGACGCCGCGUGAAGGAUGAAGUAUUUCGGUAUGUAAACUUCUAUCAGCAAGGAAGAAAAUGACGGUACUUGACUAAGAAGC